UCUUCUCUCUGCCUUAUUUUUUUGAUUUGUUCUAUUUCUCUUUCAUUUCUUCUCCAUUAGUUGGUGUAUAAUAUUUCUUUUUGGCCAUUGCUUGACUUGGUUGUUAUCCUAGAUAUUGAACAACUAUCUUUUUUCUUUCUCUAAAUAAUGUUAUGCAUUUGCUUUGCUUGCUACUGCUUUUGUCCUUGAAUAUUGGAUUCAUUUUAACAUUUCUACAUUUUGGUUUCCGUUUUUCAGAGCAUUUUUUUUUUUUUAAUUUUGCGAAGUUCUUUCUCUGUUAUUUUCUCAUAAGCGUAUAAACAUGUGAUUCUAUCUUCUUAAGAAAAUUUUCAUCUACAAUCUGCCUUCCUCCUUAUUCUCAUUGCGAUUUUCCUUUAUUUUUCAUUUUAGUUUAGUGAAUCGUGUGUGAUUUUUGUUUUUUGAUUUCUACAUAUAUGAUCUUCACUCUGCGUUAACGAUUUCUUACUGAAUUUCAUACAUGCUUGUGGUUGUUUGUUAAACUCUCUAUGGAAAUACACUGAAUUUACAAUCACAAAGAAAAAUAGCAAUAAAAGGGGAAGAACUUUGAUGCAGCGAAGAUGUUUGACAAUAUGCCUCAAGUCCUAAAUAAUUUUUUAGUCAUUCUUUUUCUGGUGGGAAUGAUUUUUUGAGUAGGUGUUCUAACGUAGAAAUCUAUCAUCCGGGCUCCGGCAACCCAAAGGUACAUUACUUCUAUUGGACCUGUUCGGUCUUUCAAUGUUGAAUUUAUAUGUUUCUGAGUUGUUUCUCUCUAUUCGUCACUCUUUCCAUUUGUGAUUUUUUUCUUUUGAUGAUCUUCGAUAGUGUGAAAAAGGCAGGUUUGGGGUUCUACGCUUCCAACUUGUGCUACGAAAUCCAUGCAUGUGUUUGUUUUUGUUAAUCGAGUUCUCCGUGGUUAUUGUAAAAUCCGACAAAGCAGAGAAGAAGCCAGGUUUCAAAUAGAAGUUCCAUCAGUAAUCAUUUUCCUCGAGUAAGUUCGCAGUUCCCUAUCUGUGGUCUCAAUUAUUGGAAAACGACAGUGCCAAUAAUUGAGCUAAACGUAGUGCCCGAGAUUCUCAUGUCCUUAUGUUGGCACCAUUGCCUAUUGGAUUUGCGGUGUUCACUUCGUUCUGCGUGUAAUUACAUGGAGCAGUCAAGAGCAACACUGAAAAAAGGAACAGAGGAGAGAAAUCUGAGGUCUGAACUAUGUCACCAAAAAACUACUAAAAAAAUUCUAAUUUACCAGCAGGCUAAGAAAAAAGAGAUUCCUGUGUUCUUUUGUUGAUCUAUCUUGAACUGGUUUCAAGAGUGUUGAUAUCUUUAUCGUGGCUGAUAAACAAAGAGGAAAUUGUUAAAGCUGCUCAAGCUAACUACUUGAAUUGAUUGAGAGGUGCAAAGAUCUCUUUGAUCGACUAUCGAAACCACUUACUGGAAUCACAAGAAUUUCCCGAUGCCUUAAAUCUAAACCUGUUGUCUAUGAUAUGAUGAUCUUGAAAUACAGCUUGACGGAUCUUUCAGUAAGGAUACCAGCUCAGCAGGCAGAGUCGUGGCACUGCUUCGGAGUUGCCCUGUGAGUCAGCAUGGCUACAUAUGCAUUUGCAUGGGUAUGGCGGGGCUCUGUUCCGGCCAUUUUAUGUCAUGUACUCCUGUAGAGGCUCGUAGACAGAUAUGCACAGUUAGAUAUCUUAUAAUUAUCACGACUUGUACUAUGUUGUAUCAUUAUUAUGGAUAGCCUUACCAGCACAUGCACUCGAGCUUAGUUUGAAGACGUAAGUAUGUUAUCUUUUGGGCUUGUGCUCCUAGGGCUUAUAGUACCUUGGUCUUAUGUUGUCUUCGAGAUACAGAAAAUGUGAGUUACAGUUGGUUCGCUCGGUUGCCGUAGGGUGUCGAGUGUCAGUCACACCUUACCAAGGUUGGGGUGUGACAUAAAAAAUAAAUAAAAAUAUUAUAUUUUAGUUAUUGUUUUUAUUGAUAUAAAAAAUAAAAAUAAGGAGCCAAAAGGUAUGAAGAAUUAGAUUAUGAAAAUAAAUAAAAAAUAAUUUGAAAAAAAUGAAUUUAGAAAAGGAGAAAAAAGUAAAUGAAAAUCACCAAAAAUUUAAAAAGAAGAAUAAAUAAAAAUAGCAAAAAAGGUGAAUGAAAUUAGAUUAUGGAGAUAAAAAAGAAAAGAAAUAAAUGAAAUUAAAAAAGAAACAUGAAAUACAUAAAUAAAAAAAUAUAAAAAAAAAAACAAAAGAAAGGAGCUGGAAUUAAAUAUGGAAUCAGAUUAUGAUGAAAAAAAAAAUAUGAUUUAAGAAAAAAAUAAAUGACCAAAAAAGGAGGGGGGAGGGGGAAAAAAAGUAGCGAUAUAGAAAAAAGAAAAAAAGAAAAAAUAGGCAAUUACCUAUAAAAGCUACAAUUGUAGAAAGAGUAAAUAGUUUUAGGGGUAUGAAAAUAAUGAAGGCAUGAAAGGAUAAUUAUUGUAGGUAUGGUGGGAAUUGAUGUUCUUUUCCCCUUCUUCUAAGGCCAAGCUACUUGGCCCAAGUUAUUAGUUUUAAAAGAUCAAGAUCAAAAUGAGGUAUAUAUUUACAUAUAGUCUACAAUGUAUAUUUAUUAUAUACCAUCUUAAAAUUUCAUUGUCUACAUUAGUUUUUCAAAUUUUACCAAAGGGGAGUGAGAAGAUCCAUCCCCUUCUUCUAAGGCCAAGCUACUUGGCCCAAGUUAUUAGUUUUAAAAGAUCAAGAUCAAAAUGAGGUAUAUAUUUACAUAUAGUCUACAAUGUAUAUAUUUUAUAUACCAUCUUAAAAUUUCAUUGUCUACAUUAGUUUUUCAAAUUUUACCAAAGGGGAGUGAGAAGAUCCAUACAUAAUUGGACUGUUAGUUCAAAAGGGAUACGUUUGAUGGAAAAUCUGAAGCUGAGAGCUUCUUACCUUAAAAGUUUUCAAGCAUAUUAUUAUUUCCCCUAACCUUUUAUUUAUUUCAUUAAUCACACAUGUAUACACCAUAUGUAUAUUUCAUAUAUACUUUUUAAUUUUC